AGUGGCGGACGGGUGGGUAACGCGUGGGUAACCUGCCUCAUACAGGGGGAUAACAGUUAGAAAUGACUGCUAAUACCGCAUAAGACCACAGCACCGCAUGGUGCAGGGGUAAAAACUCCGGUGGUAUGAGAUGGACCCGCGUCUGAUUAGGUAGUUGGUGGGGUAACGGCCUACCAAGCCGACGAUCAGUAGCCGACCUGAGAGGGUGACCGGCCACAUUGGGACUGAGACACGGUCCAA
rnacentral:rRNA from 1 species